UGUUGAAGAAAAGGUUUCCUGCUUUGUUAUUGAAGGUUAUCCUGAAUCAUCAUUUCACCCUUGAAAGACAGUUUGAUCUUCCAUCAAAUAUAGCUAUAGAAAAGAUAGGGGUAGGGUCUCCCCAGUCCUUCUGUCCUACCUUUCCUCCUUUUUAUCUUUCUUUUCCCAAGAAAUAAAUUAGCUAUUUAGUAUUCCAAAGACUGUCUCUGAAGUUUGUAAUAGGAGGGAAGAUUUCAAAGUUCAUACAGAAGAAAGUUGGGAGGGGUUGACUCACUCUUGGUCAGGUCCAGACUCCAUUAAGCUAAGUGGGGAAGGAGGAAGUGGCUACACAUUAAUCAGCCCCCUCCAUCAGCUGGUUUCCUGUUCCUAGCAUUUCGAGGCCCCCUCUGUCAAUCCCACUAUUAUAUCAUAUCAGAUGGAUUUGAUUUUAAUAAGGUGCAGCAUAGUGUUGCUUUGGCUUUCCAAAGGGAUGAUGAUGUAGCACGUUUUGCAAAGAGAGCUGUGAAGACUUCAAAUAUUCCUGCUAAAUUAAUUCCAGGAUGGAAAUAAGCCACUAGAAGAACUCAAAUAUUCUGUUGAGGUCUGCAAGAAUCCGACACAACUACUAAGGCCAAAAUAGUAGAGGGAUAUGAAAUCUUCACUAUAGAUCUUCUUCAACUUGAGAAUCCUUAUAACAACAAAAAGAAAUAACACACAAUGAGCAUUACUUAUAAGAUGUAAGACAAGACCUGGAUCUGAUCUCUGCUUGAAGAGCUUACAGAAUCAAAGUCAGGGAAAGUAAUUAUCAUACAAGAAUACUAAUUGAGAAGAUGAAUCUUGGAGUCCAUAAUUGGCAUUUGGCUUGGUUUUGAAAAUAUCCUCCCUCUAUGGUCCUCCUGAAAUACUGCCUAUUGUUGUAGAGAUGAUUUUGGAGUCUCUGAAGCCUUGCUGGAGAAUUCAGAAGGGCCCCUCAGGCUAGAAAAGUUUCAGGUAUUUCAGGUCUGUAUUGGUGUUGUCUUAAGGUCAAGUCUGUUUAAAUUCAGAAGCUGAUCACUACAUUGACAGCAGGGAUUUCUCUCUCUUUUUAACCCUUAGCUUCCAUCUUAGAAUCACUACUGUGUUUUGGUUCUAAGGCAGAAGAGCAGUAAGAGCUAGGCAAUGGAGUUAAGAGGUUUGCUCAAGGUCACUCAAAUUUGAACUCAGGACCUCUUAUCUUUGGACCUGCCUUUCAAUCCACUGAGUCGUCUUGCUACUGCCCCUAGAUUUCACUUUUUGUUUUUGUUUUUGCUUUUGUUUUCUUUUUGGUCAACAGCAGCUCUCUAGGCUAUUUGUAAAUUUAUCAAGUAGGGAGUGGAGAGAGAAAUUUCAACCAGCAUCAGUCAAAAGAAUACUCUUAUCUGUAAUGCAACAUCAGAGAUUUUUGCAUUAUCCAAGUGAAGUUAGGAAAUUAAUUUUUGGGGGGCAGUUGAGUGGCUCAGUGGAUUGAGAGCCAGGCCUAGAGAUGGGAGGUCCUAGGUUCAAAUCUGGCCUCAGACUCUUCCCAGUUGUGUGACCUUGGACAAGUCACUUGACCUGCAUUACCUAGCCCUUACCACUCUUCUGCCUUGGAAUCAAUAUAUAGUAUUGAUUCCAAGAUGGAAGGUAAGGGUUUUAAAAAAAAGAAAUUAUUUUUUUGUACUCAAGAAAUUCUUAAUACAUACUUAUUACAUAUAAGCCAUUACUGUGUAUAAGGCAUGGUGUGAUGGAAUAUAGGAGGCAGCUUUGUGGUUCACCAGAUAGAGAACUGAGUCAGGAGUCAGGAAGACUUUAAUUUAAAAUAAAAGAAACAAUAAUUUCA
rnacentral:lncRNA from 1 species